UACGAGGUUCCCCUUCUGCCUUCCUCUCUCUCUCUCUUAUGGAAUUGCUUAGGACCCAGAAACGGGUUUGUAGUCGUAUAGAUUAUGUCUCGUAUAGAUUAGAUUCUAUGUGGGAUCUGGGUGUGAGAAAUGGGUCGUGUAUUUUCUAAUGGAAUGUGUUCUAGUUUUUAUGGUGAAAGUGAAAUUUGUGACAAUUUGGGGUUUAGAUUGUGUGUGAUUGGAAUCCACUCAGUGUUUUGUAAAGUGUGAGUAAAUAACUAUUGUAUUUAUCUUCUAACAUAUCUUGAAGAUAACAGAUUAGGGGAACGUUAUAAAAAAUUUCUCUUCAAUUUUGUAUUUUUCAGGUGUCUUUGCUGCUUAUGGAAUACUAUGAACCGCCAAUACUAGCCUGCGCUAUUAAUGAAGUUCUAGCACAAUUAGCAGGGCGGAAUUAAUCCUCAGUUCCUACAGUCGUUGCCCCGUUUUUCCUAGAGUCAUCCAAGCUAAAGGGGGAAAGUAAAUCUGCAACAAAAUUUGAAAGCAAAUGUUCACUUUAUGGUAUAGAGAUUGGUUCAGAAACAGCCAUAAGCAAGGCUAUGGCAACCAAAACCCAGAAGCCACCGCCAUCCUUGCAGAUUCAUCAUGAACCUUUGGCUUGCUUUCUUCAGUUGGUCCGUAUUUUGAAGUUGCCAACAUAUGUUCUUAUAGGGCAAAGAGGUCAAUGCAUUUCUGCUAAAGAAGAGUUUCAGAUACUUCAUGAGAUUGGAGAACUUUUAGCAAGCACUUUGAACCUUUCCUUUUCAAGAGACAAGAUCACAUGGAAUCCAACAAGAAAAUCAAAAGACGAUCGGGAGCCAUGGCGUGCAUUAUGUUGUUAAACCUCUACUGUCUCUGACAUUAGAGGUUGGGACAAGAUCUAUCGUCGGAUGCAUCAGGAUGAAAAAACUUCAGUUCUUACUGUGAUUGGUAUAUCUAUGUUCAACAUCAUAGUGCUUGGACGUAAAACUACAUCUGGAUUCACAGUUUGUGAACUGGCCAUGAAGAUAAUGAAAUAGCCUUUGCUACAAUUUAAAUUUACUUAUGGCUUUCGUUUCCUUUCUUUAUUGGUUUCAUUAGUGCACUGGUCUAUUGUCUUAAAGAUGAUGGGAUAAUCUGAAUGAUUAGUUCA